AUGCGACACCCUCUUCACCGCAAUCUCCAAAUUGGACUCGGAUAUCAGGCCUUUGUACACCCUCCCGAAGCCUCCGACGCCGAGCAAGUUUUUUUCCCUGAACCCAUCCGUGGCACGAUGCAGAUCCUUGUAUGCGUAUCGGUGGGGGCCGAACUCGUCUUCCCAGCCUUCGCGCACCUCGGCGAACCGGCGCCGGCGCCACAGAAAGAAGAAGACCGCGGCCAGCGCCACCGCGACGAGCAACGCGCUGGCCAGCGGCAACACGAUGUCCAGUACCUUGGACCGAGGCUUGGGUCCCAGGCGUGGCAGAGCAGGAAGCUUGGAGAAGUCAAGCGGCGGGGCAGGCCCGUCCAAGCUGAAGCUCCAUCCGAGCAGGUAGUGAUGCCCCGAGAUGACUCCCGACGACGCCGAGAAGCCGACGUACAUGGCGUCCGCCAUGAGCGUGGAGAGGUCGAUGGCCUCGGAGAGCAGAGGCUUGCUGGGCUUGGGCACCUGCACGGGGGCUAUUGUCACGUCGAGCCGCUUGGACUGGCCGUCGUAGUCCACCCACACCUGCAUGGGGUUGCGGCUGUUAAGCGUCAGGUUCCGGAAGGCGCCGCCGCGGUCGUCAUCGUAGUAGCCAGCCCGCUGGGCCUGCCGCGACACGAGGCUGUUGACGUCGAUGCCGACGUGGUUGCUGUUGAUGUCGCGGAACUCGGGGCUGAGGAUGGUGUCCAGCUCGACGGCCAAGAUGGGGGCGCUGGCCGUGCCGUUCGUGGAGUUGAGGAGGCCCAGGUACUGGCCGGAGUUGGCGGUGGUGAAGUCGGUGGUCGGGGCGACGACGAAGGCGAGCCCGUGGUCGCUGAGACCGUCGUAGCCCGACACGAUGGCGAAGACGAAGCACGUGGAGAAGGAGCGCGCCGCCGUGGCGUUGACCGAGCCGCCGAGGAAGCGGAGCGGGGCGGGGUGGAAGGCGUGGGCUUUUGUCUGCUGCGUGAAGUUGGUGAGCGCGAGCAGGCCGCCGGGCAUGACGGCGGCGAGGCCGUCCAGGGUAAGGUUGGCGCCGGCGAAGCCUUGGUAGGCGAACUGGCCAUCGUCCAGCUGCGACCAGGCCACCUCGCCGCCACGGCUCAGCAGCAGGAGUAUGAGCAGCAGAAGGGCCGGCAUGGUUUCUUGGACAAAAGAAAACUCAGUAGUAUGACUGAAUCAUGGGCGGCUAACCAAAAUUUGCCUCGUUUGUGA
rnacentral:rRNA from 1 species